GGGAUCCCAGGAAAGGGGCAGCAGAGACCAGAGAGGAAGGUAAAUGGAGCAUGGUGGCUGCCCGAAGAGCUGGUGCAACACAUGGAACAAUCUCACCUUCCUGCUGAUUCCCCCCCACCUUCCUGCUGAUUCCCUUACUGAUGGAUUCCUGCACACAGUGAAGUCCACUGGGCCUAUGUUCCUGACCCACCACUGAUACACUUCUUGGAUCUCCCUGGGCAAGGGAGUCAACUUAUAAUAAAACCAUGACUUUCAAUGUA
ensembl:antisense Gm15687 predicted gene 15687